GGGCCUGUAGCUCAGUUGGUUAGAGCGCUCGACUCAUAAUCGAACGGUCGUAGGUUCAAGUCCUACCAGGCCCA
rnacentral:tRNA from 1 species